rnacentral:rRNA from 1 species
GACGAACGCUGGCGGCGUGCUUAACACAUGCAAGUCGAACGGAAAGGCCCUGCUUUUGUGGGGUGCUCGAGUGGCGAAGGGGUGAGUAACACGUGAGUAACCUGCCCUUGACUUUGGGAUAACUUCAGGAAACUGGGGCUAAUACCGGAUAGGAGCUCCUGCUGCAUGGUGGGGGUUGGAAAGUUUCGGCGGUUGGGGAUGGACUCGCGGCUUAUCAGCUUGUUGGUGGGGUAGUGGCUUACCAAGGCUUUGACGGGUAGCCGGCCUGAGAGCGUGACCGGCCACCUUGCGCCUGCGAUACGGCGCAGUCUCCUACGUGACGCAGCAGUGGGGAAUAUUGCACAAUAGGCGGAAGCCAGAUGCAGCAACGCUGCGUGCGGGAUGACUUCCUUCGAGUUGUAAACCGCUUUCGCCUGUGACGAAGCGUGAGUGACGGUAAUGGGUAAGGAAGCACCGGCUAACUACGUG